CUCCCACAGAGUGGUACCAAAGCCCCACUUGUCCGUGGCCAAACUCAGAUUUUGCUGACUUUCGAUGCAUUCGGGGGGCACCCACGGGAUCCGCUCCACCAGAACUCUCUUUGGCAGCCUAAAGUAAAAUGUGACUCCACUUACAACUGACCUGGAAAAACUGAUACGCCAUGACGCAUUCAUCCAUCACAGGACUCUCCAUGCCCUUGUUAAACCCGCAGCGGUGAGCAUAUGAGGAACUGCCACUGUUGUACCAGCCAGGAAAGUAAUACCUGUUUACAAGUGUGAGCAAAAAAAAAAAGUCAUCAUAUGAACGCUUACUAAAAAUUAAAAAUGUAAUUAUCCACCUGAUUCUGAAAUGUAAGCGCUCGCUGGUCUCCGGGUUCAGUUUGAAGACGUGAUUGGCUGGAAACCACAUUCGGUCACUUUCCCUCAUCAGGCUGAAUAAGUUGAAGUAUAACGGUGCAAUACCUGCAAGGAAGGUUUUUUAUUAUGUAACCUAUUUUUUUAUAUAAAACACACAUAAUGGAAUAAAAGUGGGGGUCUCGCAUUUAAGCCAGACAGGAAUGACUAAGUGAAAACUCGUUUGUUUCAUUGUAUGUCACCGCUGAACAUUUGCUGCUUUUACAGGCAAUGUAAAAGGAGUUUAUGACUCUUAUCGGGAUGUUAAAUCAAAAAGGUGCAUUUGUAUAAUCAAAUUACACGGUCUCGUUUAAGUUUCAAGUAUUUUGUGCAUGUUUUUUAGAAUCGAUUAUUCUGUCGAUAAAUCAAAUUAUCGGGUACACUUUUAUUUGCAAUAAAAUGUGGUUAAAGAAAAAUGUUAACAUUUAGACAUAAAAAAAUCACUCAAAAUGAUAACUUUAUUAUUAAAAUGAUUAUUAAAAUAUGAAAAAAUGAUUAUGAAAAUACAAGACGAUUCAUUUGUUAAUCUAUGUGCUGGAGAUUAAUCGUUUAAUUUUGACAGUUUAUUGUUUUUUUUCAUUUUAGCUAGCAACAAGCACAUUCUAUCUUUCCUUUAUAUUGUAACAUCAGCCUAGCGUGUACGAACUUGUAGAGUGAGCUUAUUCGGAGACAGAAGACUUUCUUAACAGGAAGCACUCAUGAGUGAAGCAACAACCUAACGAUGAGAACGCCGCCUUGAGAGGAAAUGCCCGUGACCACAAGCGGAAAUCAAGGCACUUGCAGGGUUGACCUACAUUUUUAUUCUCUCAUGCAUUAUUAUUUACUAGCCAUGACACCAAUCCGAUAUUUUGCAUUUUUUAAAAUGUUCAACCAGGUCAUCUCCCACCUCAGGCUUCAACUCCACCGUGACCCUAAACAGUGGCAAGAAAAAUGCACAGAUAUAAAUCUGUGGAUAAAAACCAGUCCACUUUGGAAUGCAGAUCACCGUGUGAGAACUGUGUCUUCAUCGCUCACCACAAGUUUUCGCCGCGAGGAUGCAAAGCUCCUCUGCUACGUAAUCGCCGGGCGGGUCCAGAAGAUGGCGUGCAGUCAGGUGGUAGGCCAUUAUGAUGCGUUGUGGGGCAGGUGCCGCUCGGGUUCAUGUUUCUCACCAAAAAGCAGGCCAUGUACCGACAUUCACCUAGAAAAGGGAAAAAACAGCAGCAAG